AUCAUCGAAUGUCGAUAGACUAUUGUAUACCAGAAGAAGAAGAAAAAGAAGAAGAAGAAGAGAACCAAUUUGAUUUAAAUACAGGUCGAUGUAUAACUUUUGCUUUUGGUUCAUUGAAGUUGUGGACAUAGUAAAAUCACAGAUUUAUAUUUCAAUAAGAUUGUUCUCGAAAAAAGGAAGGAAUUCGUCAUCACAAUUGUUAUAUAUGCCACUGGACGAACA
rnacentral:lncRNA from 1 species